GAUGAACGCUGGCGGCGUGCCUAAUACAUGCAAGUCGAGCGAACAGACGAGGCGCUUGCUCCUCUGUCGUUAGCGGCGGACGGGUGAGACACACGUGUAUAACCUCCCUAUAAUACUGGGAUAACUUCGGGACACCGGCGCUAAUACCGGAUAAUAUAUUGAACCGCAUGGUUCAAUAGUGAAAGUCGGUUUUGCUGUCACUUAUAGCUGGAUCCGCGCCGCAUUAGCUAGUAGGUAAGGUAACGGCUUACCAAGGCAACGAUGCGUAGCCGACCUGAGAGGGGGAUCGGCCGCACUGGAACUGAGACACGGUCCAGACUCCUACGGGAGGCAGCAGUAGGGAAUCUUACGCAAUAGGCGAAAGCCUGACGGAGCAACGCCGCGUGAGUGAUGAAGGUCUUCGGAUCGUAAAACUCUGUUAUGAGUGAAGAACAAAUGUGUAAUUAACUAUGCACGUCUUGACGGUACUGAAUCAGAAAGCCACGGCUAACUACGUG
rnacentral:rRNA from 1 species